rnacentral:tRNA from 1 species
GGGAAUGUGGCUUAGUGGUAGAGUGCUUGCCUAGUAUGCAUGAAUCCCUGGGUUCCAUUCCUC